rnacentral:rRNA from 1 species
ACGGGAGGCAGCAGUGGGGAAUAUUGCACAAUGGGGGAAACCCUGAUGCAGCGACGCCGCGUGAAGGAUUGACGUAUUUCGGUAUGUAAACUUCUAUCAGCAGGGAAGAUAAUGACGGUACCUGACUAAGAAGCCCCGGCUAACUACGUGCCAGCAGCCGCGGUAAUACGUAGGGGGCAAGCGUUAUCCGGAUUUACUGGGUGUAAAGGGAGCGUAGGCGGCUGAGUAAGUCAGAAGUGAAAGCCCGGGGCUCAACCCCGGGACGGCUUUUGAAACUGCCCGGCUUGAUUUCAGGAGAGGAAAGCGGAAUUCCUAGUGUAGCGGUGAAAUGCGUAGAUAUUAGGAGGAACACCAGUGGCGAAGGCGGCUUACUGGACUGUAACUGACGUUGAGGCUCGAAAGCGUGGGGAGCAAACAGGAUUAGAUACCCUGGUA